UACGUAGGGGGCAAGCGUUGUCCGGAUUUAUUGGGCGUAAAGAGCGUGUAGGCGGCCAGAUAGGUCAGCUGUGAAAACUCGAGGCUCAACCUCGAGAUGUCGGCUGAAACCAUCUGGCUAGAGUCCGGAAGAGGAGAAUGGAAUUCCCGGUGUAGCGGUGAAAUGCGCAGAUAUCGGGAAGAACACCCGUGGCGAAGGCAAUCUCCUGGACCUGCACUGACGCUCAUGCACGAAAGCGUGGGGAGCAAACAGG
rnacentral:rRNA from 1 species